AUCCUUAACCCACUGAGCAAGGCCAGGGAUCAAUCCCACAUCCUCAUGGAUACUAGUCGGAUUUGUUUCUGCUGCACCACAAUGGGAACUCCCUACUGCAUUUUAUAUGUUAAAAUGAUUUUCACCUAAUCCGUUUCUUUGUUUCGAUUGGAAGGGCAAUUCCCAAGCCCAUCACCUAGACUAAAGGUCAUUUUUAGUCUCAGAGAACAAUCUCUCAGGCACCUGGUGCUGUGAUAUCGUGACAAGACAUUGUUCCAUGACCAGCUCAGCAUGCUGGUUGCUCUGGCAGGAUUAAUGAGAUGUGAGCUAGGACUGGGGAGAAAAAGGCAAUGGGAGACUAGAAAUGAAGGGAGUCUGGCGCUAACAUUUACAGACACUCUUGAUUUCCUAACAGCUAAUCCUGGGGAGGAUAAUUAUUAUUCUUCCUUUUUUACCUAAUCAGGUCCUCACAAUUUUAUAUAUUCCCCCACCCCAAAAUGUAUAUUCAUUUAGCCUUUAAUAAUUUUAGUUUCCAUUGUGGCUUAGUGGGUUAAGGACCUGAAAUUGUCUCUGUGAGGGUGUGAGUUCAAUCCCUGGCCUGGCCCAGUGGGUUAAAGACCUGCUGUUGCUGCGAGCUUUGAUGUAUGUCUCAAGUGCAGCUGGGAUCCAAUGUUGCCAUGGCUGUGGUGUAGGCCAGGGCUGCAGUUACAAUUCAAUCCCUGGCACAGGAACUUCCAUAUGCUGCAGAUGCAGCUGUAAAAAGAAAAAAAAAUUGUUUUUAAUAAAAAAAAUAAUUUUAGGCAAACAAAAAAUGAUUAAGAAAUCUGUACUAUAUAUAGUUUUUUAAUCAAACAUUAGUAACUACCAAAUUCAUGGUAAACAUUAGCCCUAUCAUUCUGAGAUUUCAAGCAUACUCCCUUAAUUUUUCAGAUUAACACAUGGAAAAUACUAUGCUUCUUAACUAUUCACAAAUAAUCUGGCAAACAUUUACUCUGCUGUUCAAUUUUUAUUAAAACAUUUUUUUUAAAAAAGUCCUCAUAGAUGCUGGUUAUAUUUCAGUGUCAAUCAUACAUAACAUGCCCAUGAGUCAUAUCUAUGUGGUUUGUACUGCAAAAGAGAGGCAGUAUUUGGCCUGAAUAAAAUUAAAAUUUUUUUAUUAUUUUAUUGUAUUGUAUUGGUUUUUAGGGCCACACCCACAGCAUAUGGAAGUUCCCAGGCUAUGGGUCAAAUCAGAGCUACAGCUACCAGCCUACACCACAGCCACAGCAACAUGGGAUCCAAGCCACAUCUGCAGCCUACACCACAGCUCACAGCAAUGACAGAUUCCCCCACCCACUGAGCGAGGCCAGGGAUCGAACCUGCAUCCUCAUGGAUCCUAGUCAGGUUGGUUACCGCUGAGCCAUGAAGGGAACUCCACUGGCCUCAUUAAAAUUUAAAUAAAGUAAAAGUUUAAAAUUGAAAUACUUUGUAUUCUUUUUAUGGAAAUGUUUCCUUUUAUUAAAAAUGUGAACUUAAUUAAUGUUUUAAAACACAGAAGGAAAAUACAAAAUUCACUAUAAGAUGCAAUUAACUUAAAAGUGUCAAAAAGUUACAUUUGCUAGUUUACUGUGUGGUGAGCAUGACACUGAAUAGCUACUUUUCCCAAGGUGGCAGGGAGGAGGCCCUGGGAAGGGUUUUACAAGCUUAGUCUCAUGUAUUCCUCACACUCAUUCUGAAGAGUGUUGUUUUGUCAUUUUAUAGAUGACUGAGAUUAAGGAAACUGUCCAACCAAGACUGCAGAGCCGGGACAUGAACUAGGCGGGCCCUAAGGUCUACACUGACUGAGCCUCCUACUCGUCAUUGGGAGACGUGAAAUCAUGGACCAUUUUUCUGCUUGCCUCAAAUGUAACGUAAUAUAUACGCUCCUUCCCAGACCUGAAAUACUAUUUCUCUUCUUAAAAUGAGUUGCUACUUUUAACGUCUUCUAACCAUACCUUUGAACUUUUAAUGGAUCAAAUAGUUUUGGAAAGUUUGUACAUGUAAUAAACUAGAGGCACUAGGUGUUUGUAGCCUGCGAAGUGAGCUAUAUUCUGCUUAACUAUCACACAGAGCAUUACAAUAGCCUUAUUAGCUGCCAUUCCUGGUGCUUCCUGAGACUUCAUUUACAUCAUAUAUACAGGCUACCAAAACUACAAUUAACACACAAGCCCUGAAGCUGUUAAUUACCAUAAAUUGACCAAAAUAUGGAGUACUUAUAGUCCCCCGAUUGACCAAAGUAUAGUAUCAUCCUAGUACGUUUCUGAAUUCUCUCUCCCAAGGGUCAGGAAUUUUUGAACAACCGAAGAGGAAGUUUCAGUCCGGAGCUCCUUGAAGAAAUUAAAAAAAAAAAAAAAUUCCCUUUAGGAGGGGGGCCAAAACACACAUGGGUAGGCUUCUCCAUAUGGGACCGACUGCCCUGUUGAAAGACAGCACAACUUUUUAUUUUUAAGCACAGUAAAUGGAUUUGCUCUAACCUCUUUAAUUUUGUGAAAUGAAAUAAAGUGACUAGAAGUCCCCAUUGUGGCUCAGCAGUAACAAAACCAACUAGCAUCCAUGGGGAUGUGGGUUCAAUCUCUGGCCUGGCUCAGUGGGUUGUAGAUGUGGCUCGGAACUUGCGUUUGCUGUGGCUGUGGUCUAGGUCAGCAGCUAUUGCUCCAACUCAACCCCUAGCCUGGGAACGUCCAUAGGCUGCACUUGUGGCCCUAAGAAGCAAAAGAAAGAAAGGAAGAAAGGAAGGAAGGAAGGAAGGAAGGAAGGAAAGAAAGAAAGAAAGAAAGAAAGAAAGAAAGAAAGAAAGAAAGAAAGAAAGAAAGAAAGAAGAAAGAAAGAAAGAAAGAAUCGUUGCGUGGGCGGUCCACCCAGAGAACCACAGGAGGGGGGUUGGAGGAGAUGCAAAUGUUUCACUUGAGAAGAUCAUGGAGAAUGAUGGCUUUCUGUGGGCACAGGACAUGGAUUUGGUGUGAGGGAAGGUAUAUUUGAGUGGCAGCUUCUAAAGAGAAGAAAUAGUUCCAGCAAAUGACAGGAGUCAGCUCAGUGAGGGCCACACCUGGAGAACAGCCCAGUGUCCAGUUCACCCUGCGUGCAGCGAUAUGAGAAGGUACAGCUGAAGAGGUAGCCAGGGGCCAUCUACGAUGGCGAUUUCAGCACAGGUGACCUUGUGAGAUGAGGCCUACGGCCUAGGUCAGGCCAGAAGAGGAACAGCACGUGGUGACUGUCUGAGGGGAGCAGAAGCCAAGGCAGUUGCGGGGGGGGGGGGGGCAGGAGAGGUGGACAAAGCUUGGACCCAAGUCACUGAGAGAAUGACUCCCAUGGGUGGAGAGGGAAGUGAGAGAGAUGAUGACCAGGGCUUUCCUAAGACAUCUCACAUCCUGCUCAUGCGUAUGUGAAGAUAAGGUUUUUCCCCAAUCUCAAACGUUGGAUAGCUUUAGUUAUUUCUUCAAAAUAUGUAAUCUCAGGAUUUUGAAAAUUGCUAAAUUCCUUAAAAAGACUACUUGGGGGGUGGGGGGCAGGAGAGGGAUGGACUGGGAGAAUGGAAAAAGAACAAGGUCCUACUGUACAGCACAGGGAACUAUAUCCAAUCUCUUGGGACAGAACAUGAUGGAAGAUAAUAUGGGAAAAAACAUGUAUAUAGGUAUGACUGGGUCACUUUGCUAUACAGCAGAAAUUGGCAGAACAUUUAAUAAUAAAAUAUGUUUUUAAAAGUUUUUUAAAAAUAAAGUUGUACAAACUUGAAAAAAAAAAAAAAAAGACUACUUAAUACACAUGGCAAGAUGCCAUGUGGAGAUAUCACUGCUGCAUUAUUUCCCACACUUACUUUGGACCUCACAAGCCUCCAGUUAUUAAGAAGCAGAGCGUGAGGCAAGCACUGCCCCAAGGUGGGGAGCAGGAGAGGAACAAGGAAACAGGGAGUGUGCCUUCUUGGGCUUUAAAAAGCAGAAGGCAGAGAGAUUCAUAAGACCUGCAACUGAACAAACCCUUCUUCCUGCCCCUCCUGGAUAAAGUAAAGCUUCUCUGAGAAGGAAAGACAAAGACACAAAGAGAAGGAAAGAAAUAAGAGAUUCAAAUUCCAACUCACUUAGGUGAAGUCUGGGGUGGGGGCAGGGAGAGGAGCGAGGUGGCUGAUGGGACUCUAAGUUUGGAGGUUCAAGAGUGGUAAGGCUUGGGGCUCGGUUCCUGCAGGGAACCCUGGGAGGUCCUAACCAUACAUGGUUAGAAGCCCCCUGCACCAUGUGACCUGGGAUGGAAGGAAGAGAGUCAGCUCUCGAAGGUGUCAGGGAACAAGGAGGCUCUGCUCAGCCCCAGUGUCUCCUGUCCAGACAGCAGGAGAGCAGGCCAGCCUUCCCAGCCCUGAGAGGGUGAACUGACAGCAGGAAAGCUUCCUCACACAGGUCCCGCCUUCCUGUGAAGGGGCCGCAGCCACAAAGAGGAAAGUGGACAGGGAACUGGAAGUCAGGCAGGGCUGUGCCCACUUCUCAGCAUGGCAACGUGGAAGGGUGAUGGCACUCAGAGCAGAUACCGGCUCAGGCAGUCUCAGAGCCCCAGUACCUGAUACCAACUGAAUCUUUGGAACCAAAAUACCACCCAGGGAAGAAGAAGAAAGAGAAGGGCAAUCCUGUUUGUCUGACUUUAUGCUUGAUGUAACAAAGAAAUCACCAACACAUCAAAAUUUGCCUUUAGUUUAAUUGAUUUAGUUUUCUGAUAUGUGGAAUAAGGUAUCAGUAUGAAAGUUCAGUUUGGGUACAAUACAGAAAGUUAGAUUUUUUUUUUUAAACUGAAUUUGUGACCUAAAAAUAGCAUAUACAUUUGGUUUAGACAAUAUAGCCUGGCCCUUCUCCACUGACCUAUUAUUCUUACGCUAUGCUGCAAUCAAAUCACUAACUAAGUCAUGUUUGGAUUCUUUUAUUUCUACUAGAGGGAACCUUUCCUUCUCUGAAAACAAGUCUACUGAUGAAGUUCAUAAUU
rnacentral:lncRNA from 1 species